AACUGAGGAUAUACAUAGCUUUGGUAGAGCCUAUCCCUGCUCUACACAAACACACACUACAUCCUCUAUACAAACACACUCUGCAUUCACUAAACCCACACUACAUCCACAAGCUCUGCAUCUUAUACACACAAACACUAAAUGCUACAAUGUACAAUCUGCAUCCACUAUACAUAAUGCAUCCAUGACACACACACCACAUCCACUUUACACAUGCACUCUGCAUCCACUACACACAUUCUACAUUCACUAUACACACACACACAACAUCCUUGUGGGUGGACACAGCUUGAGCGGUGUCAGGGCCCCCAAAAUUUCUGAUGGCAGCCCUAAGGACCUGUAUGUCUGAAAUGUGAGGGAUUUUCUGAUUAGUACAGGAAGUGUGUCAGUGAAGCAUGUUGCAUCUAAGGUGUCAUGCCAUUGUUUUACAGAGGAUAUUACUGCCAUAAAAUUAUUUUAU